rnacentral:rRNA from 1 species
AGAGUUUGAUCAGUGGCUCAGGACGAACGCUGGCGGCAUGCCUAACACAUGCAAGUCGAACGGAGUUGAGGAGCUUGCUCUUCAACUUAGUGGCGGACGGGUGAGUAACGCGUGAGCAACCUGCCUUUAAGUGGGGAAUAAUGUACUGAAAAGGACACUAAUACCGCAUAAUGUAUAUAGGCCGCAUGACCUGUAUACCAAAGAUUUAUCGCUUAAAGAUGGGCUCGCGUCCGAUUAGCCAGUUGGUGGGGUAACGGCCUACCAAAGCGACGAUCGGUAGCCGGACUGAGAGGUUGAACGGCCACAUUGGGACUGAGACACGGCCCAGACUCC